rnacentral:lncRNA from 12 species
CCCGGGGCGUCGAGGGCUACCUGGCCGCGACCGCGUGGGCCCCGCCACCGCCCGCAGCGCGGAGCCUCGGGAGGCGCCGCAGGGGGGACGGGGCGAGGGGAGGGAGCCCCUCUACCCCCGAAUGGGCGACGCAGGAGUCCAUCCUCCCAAGAACUUUCAGCGCCACCCCGCGUGUGCACGGACGCACCCAGGUGGUAGACGCCGACCUCCGGACGGAUGCCCUGUGACAUCCCCCGGCGGGGCUGGUCUGCCUCCCGCUCCGCACCUUCGAUCCGCCGCGGAGCCCUGCCUUCCAGAAUGGUCUCUCCUCUCGGGGACUAACGGUUGCGUGUCAAGCCCCUCCGGCCACAGACUGUUACUCCUGAGCUUCCUCUGCCCUUGCCUGUGGGGAAAGCUUCCUGAACGUUGUUAUCUCAUUGCAAGCGAGGAGUCCGCUCCUUUAUGCAAAACGUUUAAAAGCCCUCUGGAUGAAGACAGCAAGUGUCCUGCCAAAUACAUUCUUCUAAUUCUUGUGAAAGUCAGAGUAAUAACAAAAAGAGACUGGAAGCUUCCCAAACAGGGGAAAUGGUGAACAAAUGCCAGGGUCAGGAGAGAGUCGAGUCUACUUAGGCCACUGAAGAACCAGCCUGGUGGAGGCAGACACUGAACGAGACGUUUGGAAAGACAGGGUGACGCCAGAUUCAGGCUACAGAUUGCUUACAAGACCAGGCCAAGACGUGUGCCUGAGCCACUCACGAGGCAACAAGAACUUAUAAAUGAUCAACUCUGACUGAUAAGAUUAAAAUGUUUUUAUUUUU